rnacentral:lncRNA from 1 species
UUGACAAAUCUAAUCCAAUUAGCAAUCAUAAUUGCUUUGUUUUGGAUGACAUUGCUUUAACCAAAUAGAUUUUUCAAAAUACAAUACAAUACAAUGGUCUAAUAGGAAGAGGUGAAAGUUUGACUCCAUAAUAAAGAAAUCAAUAAAAGUACAUUGCUAUUUCUUAUAUAUCAUGACAAGUACAAACACAUUCUUGAAACAAAAACCCUUAAUAGUUAUUCUUGAAAGUAGUUUACAAGUUGUAUCAAGGAGAGUGGUAACUUAUGAACUGGAAACAGAGCACGCAAAAAGGCAUAAAAACAUGCCCAAUUAAUGAACUGGAGAUACAAUCUCCGAUGAACUAGAUUUGAAAUUACAGCCCUUCUAUGGUAAGAUUGUCUUCUUAUUGAACUUUUGUUGCAAUUUCUUUAAAGCCUUCAUCUGUCAAUACACAUAAAAAUGAAGGCAAAUGUUAGCUUUGAGGAAAAAGAAACUAAACUACAAACAGUCACAUUCUAAUAUAUUGAACACAAAUCUUCAAUGUUCAAUUGCCCUCAUUUCAAGAAAGUAAGAGACUAUGUGGUUUUAGAUCUCGAUGGACAAUUCCAUCCAUGAACUGAUUUCACAUAAACUAUCUAUUGAACACAAAUGUUGAUUUUGAUUUUUGAAAACUGAUUUCACAUAAAAUUGAGCAUAAAAUCAAAUAUUGAUUUUGAUUGAACAAAUCAAAAACAGAUAGCAUAACAUCAAGACCUGAUUUGGAUUUUUGAUUUUCAAGUUUGGAGGGAAAGAAGGAAGAAACAGAAGAAGAGCAACGAAUUCGAUUUUAAAAGAAGAAGAGAAACAAACCUAUUGCGUCGGCGGAAGAACGAGUUGGAGACGGAAGAACUUGCGCCGGCGCCGGCGGCGUUGCUGGGUACAGCGUCGUCGACGUUUUGGGUAGGCGGGCGUCGUUUCAGUAGCCUCGUCGGAAGGUGUAGAGAAACAGACGCGAAGCAAGCAAACACGAAGUGAAGAAAAGAAGAGGAGGCGGUCGAUCUUUGUUUAGGGCAAAUAAGGAACGCGUCUCUUUUUUUU